AGGUAGUGGGACCUUCACCCUACGAUGUUGAAUGUUAUCAAAAUUGUUCUUCCUCUACGGUUUAAUAUCAUGCACGCAUUACAUGAUGAUGAUGACUACAACCAUGGUGUUAGGAAACAAGAUAUGGUGGGAUAUCUUCUGGGAUAUUAGGAUCUAUUUCUCUUUGAAUAUAUUAGGAUUUGUUUCUCAGGAAUUGCACUUGUUCCAGGUUUGCAUAGUUUUUUGUGCAUGAACACAAAAUUGUGUGGUGACCAAGAUAUUUGGUUUCAUUUAUUUGAUACUUUACCCGGCUUCACAUUUAUGAAAUAUUUGAUACAUCAAUAAAACAAAAUAAAUGAUAAUGCAUCUAUUUUCUAUUGGACCAGUUUGUCCAUUAUAGAAUAGUGAUCGUGUUCAUGUUUUAGAUCUUGUGUUUUUUGGUUUUCUUUUUCAAUCUUGUGAUUCUGCUACCAAUUCAAAUUACCUUUUGGAUGUACUUUUCUGGUGUAUAGGAUUCUAUCAAUCUGGUGACCAUUCUCUACUGUUUAUAUAGGUUAUGCACAAGCACCAGAAGUAUUUUAUGUGAGUAUUGAAGGUGGUUGGAUUCGGUAUUAGAUUGUAAAAAUAAUGGGUUUUUAGCAUAGAGUAAAAAUUCUGUCUGAAAACUUUAUGUUCUAUGGCAAUUUGUUAGAAAUGUGAAAUAAGCUCUGAAAUCACAUCCUGAUUUUAUCGGUGUUGUAGUGCUUCUUCAAGCCAGAUGGUAAGGUAGAGCUGGUAGAACUAGAAUAUGGUGGAGCCAUCUCUCCAUAGUGCACAUUGCAGGGCCACGGAGCAGAUGGGUAUCCAAUCUAAGUGUAGUUUGAAAUCAUCCAAUCACCCUGCCAUGUUUACUGUGCAAAUCUACCAGCACACAUCUAAUUCUUUAAUUACGGACUAAUAAAGAAGCUAUUCUUCUUUAGAUAGGUGAACACUACGCUACAUGCUAUUUGAUAUUUAAACACUACUGUAGAUCUACCAUGGUCUGAGCUCUAGACCUAGAUAUUUAAACAUUGUUUACGUUUCUUUAACUUGAUCUUACUGACCAUAAAGUAUUUGUGGUUGCCUUGAUUCAUGUUAAUCUUGUAACAAAUGGCUUCUAUUUUGUGAAAAAGUGCUUGCAUUUAAGUCUAUUGUGCCUAUGAUAUUACAGGAUUCCUUAUAUCACAAUUUUUCCAAGGAGGAACUGAUGUGAGUUCAUGAAUAUAAUUUUGACUAUCCUGGUAAUGUCUACCUUUUCCUAAAGUUGGAGAAACAAAUAUUCAUGUAGAAUAUCUAAAAUAUGCAUGUCAUGUUGUAGUGGUAUUUUGAGUCAAAAUUCUGGCACCUGUUUGCUAAUUAUGUUGUGUAUUAAUCAGUGGGAGGAUCCUUAUAAAUUGUUUGGCAGGUCAAUCUUUCAGAUGUAAUAAUUUUGGAAGGGAUACUUUUUUCAUAUUGUUUCCAAAAAUGUUGUGAUCUAGUCUAGUUACUCAUGUAUAUGAACCAUGCAACAAAGUGGUAGCUGUAAAAGCUAAAAGACCAUCUUUACGUGCAUGAAAUCCACCCUCUCCAUAAGGUACAAUACCCCUUUUCUUGACUUGAUACCAACUCUCGAUCAACAUAUGUUUCUUACCAAACUAAUUUCUUCGUCAAAUCUACUUGUAAUU